CUUCCCUUGUCCUGUACGUUUAGACUUCAAACACCAGAAUGAACUUGCUGAGAAUUUCUCACGUUACUAUAUCAUAGGUUUCACCCAGUCUUUGACAUGUGAAACAGGGAGGCAUAUAGAACUCUUACCUAAGGGAGGCUCAGUGAAGGAUUAUAUAUAUGCCUUUUGAUUUUUUAGCAAUCAUCUCAACGAAUCCAGUUCCUGCUUCAACGCUCAAGGCUCCAAUUAUUUGUUCCGGCCAACAAAACAAGGGAUCUGGAAACCCCUCCAUUCAAACUGAAUCACCUUUUCCAGCUUCUAAAUCCCAACUUAGCAUUAAUCCAUCUUCAACUACGGUGGUCAGGCUGAAGUUGGUUCCCUCACAAUCUGGCUGCUAAAAAUUUGGUUGGUUGUCCAAUAAGCUCCAUCUUCUCUUCUACAUUCUUUGUUAUCUUUGCACUUGAGAUAUUAAAAAUAAGCGACAAAGGCUUGAAAGGUCAGAGAUUAGAGAAGAUGGUACUGAGGCCAUGCUCUUGGAUUAGCCUGGUGGAAGACGCUCUAGUGGGUUUUACCGUAGUUGUGCCCUGAUAUCACCUCUCCUAGGAUGAGGUACUAAACUACAUAUAUUU